rnacentral:antisense_RNA from 1 species
CACAUAUAUUUUCCAUUCCAAAAGAAUAUUCUUUCCACUCCAUCCUGAAGGGUCUUGCUGUCAUCCCAGCUGGAGUGCAGAGGUGUGUGAUCGCAACUCUCUACAGCCUUGACCUCUGAGCCUCAAGCAAUCCUUCUACCUCAGCCUCCUGAGUAGCUGGGACCACAGGAUAAUGCUGGUCUCACAAAAUGGAUUGGGAAAUGCCACACCUCUACUUUCUGAAAGAGUUUACAUAAGAGCCUCACUCUGUCGCCCAUGCUAGAGUGCAAUCACGCAAUCUUGGCUCACUGCAACCUCUGCCUCCUGGGUUGAAGCGAUUCUCCUGCCUCAGCCUCUUGAGUAGCUGGAAUUACAGCCUCUGUUACUGGGCAUGGAGUCAUCUGUCUUCUACGGAGCACCUCUGUCUUUUGGUCAAAGAGGGAAAAUGAAAUCCUGGCCCUAUGGAUACUGGGAAGCAUACUCAAGUAUCUCUGAGUUUGAGACCAGCUUGGGCAACAGAGCAAGACACCGUGUCUACAAA